GCAGCGCUGCGCAGCACGCGCUGCGCUUCCUGGGGGGCGGGCGGGGGGAGGGGGAGGGCAAACCAUGCGGG
rnacentral:SRP_RNA from 14 species